UACGUAGGGCGCAAGCGUUAUCCGGAAUUAUUGGGCGUAAAGAGCUCGUAGGCGGUUUGUUGUGUCUGCCGUGAAAGUCCGGGGUUCAACUCCGGAUCUGCGGUGGGUACGGGCAGGCUAGAGUGAUGUAGGGGAGACUGGAAUUCCUGGUGUAGCGGUGAAAUGCGCAGAUAUCAGGAGGAACACCGAUGGCGAAGGCAGGUCUCUGGGCAUUAAUUGACGCUGAGGAGCGAAAGUAUGGGGAGCGAACAGG
rnacentral:misc_RNA from 1 species